rnacentral:rRNA from 1 species
UACGUAGGGCGCAAGCGUUAUCCGGAAUUAUUGGGCGUAAAGGGCUCGUAGGCGGUCUGUCGCGUCGGCUGUGAAAUCCCGAGGCUCAACCUCGGGUCUGCAGUCGAUACGGGCAAACUAGAGUAUUGCAGGGGAGACUGGAAUUCCUGGUGUAGCGGUGAAAUGCGCAGAUAUCAGGAGGAACACCGGUGGCGAAGGCGGGUCUCUGGGCAAUAACUGACGCUGAGGAGCGAAAGCGUGGGGAGCGAACAGG